rnacentral:rRNA from 1 species
UACGUAGGGGCAAGCGUUGUCCGGAAUCAUUGGGCGUAAAGAGCGUGUAGGCGGCCCGAUAAGUCCGCCGUGAAAGUCCAGGGCUCAACCCUGGAAUGCCGGUGGAAACUGUCGGGCUGGAGUCCGGAAGAGGCGAGUGGAAUUCCUGGUGUAGCGGUGAAAUGCGUAGAUAUCGCUUGGAACGCCAAAGGUGAAAACAGGUUGCUGGGGUUGUGCCGACGCUGAGACGACGAAAGCCAGGGGAGCAAACGGG